UUGGAGGGCAAGUCUGGUGCCAGCAGCCGCGGUAAUUCCAGCUCCAAUAGCGUAUAUUAAAGUUGUUGCAGUUAAAAAGCUCGUAGUUGAAUUUCGGAGUUUGUCGGUUGGUCGGGCUUCACUGUCCGCACUGACCUGAUGGAUCCCUACCUUCUGAAUAACCAGCAUGCUAUUAAGUUAGUGCGUUGGGGAAGCAGAGCUAUUACCUUGAAAAAAUUAGAGUGCUUAAAGCAGGCUUAUGCUUGAAUAGAUUAGCAUGGAAUAAUAAAAUAGGACGGCAUGGUUCUAUUUUGUUGGUUUCUAGGAUCACCGUAAUGAUUAAUAGGGAUAGUUGGGGGCAUUAGUAUUUAAUUGUCAGAGGUGAAAUUCUUGGAUUUAUUGAAGACUAACUUCUGCGAAAGCAUUUGCCAAGGAUGUUUUCAUUAAUCAAGAACGAAAGUUAGGGGAUCGAAGACGAUCAGAUACCGUCGUAGUCUUAACCAUAAACUAUGCCGACUAGGGAUCGGACGAUGUUAAUUUUUUAAUGACUCGUUCGGCGCCUUACGGGAAAC
rnacentral:rRNA from 1 species